rnacentral:rRNA from 1 species
UCGGAUUGUAGUCUGNAACCCGACUACAUGAAGCUGGAAUCGCUAGUAAUCGCGGAUCAGAAUGCCGCGGUGAAUACGUUCCCGGGUCUUGUACACACCGCCCGUCACACCAUGGGAGUCGGAAAUGCCCGAAGUCUGUGACCCAACCGGAAGGAAGGAGCAGCCAAGGCAGGUCUGAUGACUGGGGUGAAGUCGUAACAAGGUAAC